UACGUAGGGUGCAAGCGUUGUCCGGAAUUAUUGGGCGUAAAGAGCUCGUAGGCGGUCUGUCGCGUCUGCUGUGAAAACUCAGGGCUUAACCCUGAGCUUGCAGUGGGUACGGGCAGACUAGAGUGCGGUAGGGGAGACUGGGAAUUCCUGGUGUAGCGGUGAAAUGACGCAGAUAUCAGGAGGAACACCGGUGGCGAAGGCGGGU
rnacentral:rRNA from 1 species